GCUGUGAUGGUGUAGUGGUAUCACACCUGUGUUAUUAUACAAGGCGCACGUGGGUGUCCUUGAAAUCUUGAAGCACAGGAGGUCGCGGAUUCGAUUCCCGCUCACGGUU
rnacentral:tRNA from 1 species